CGAAAGCCUGACGGAGCAAGACCGCGUGAGGGAGGAAGGCUCUAGGGUCGUAAACCUCUUUUCUCAAGGAAGAUAAUGACGGUACUUGAGGAAUAAGCAUCGACUAACUCCGUGCCAGCAGCCGCGGUAAUACGGAGGAUGCAAGCGUUAUCCAGAAUGAUUGGGCGUAAAGAGUCCGUAGGUGGUCUGUCAAGUCUGUGGUUAAAGCGCGAAGCUCAACUUCGUAAAGGCCAUGGAAACUGAGAGACUAGAGUAAAGUAGGGGUAGAGGGAAUUCCCAGUGUAGCGGUGAAAUGCGUAGAGAUUGGGAAGAACACCGGUGGCGAAAGCGCUCUACUGGACUUAAACUGACACUGAGGGACGAAAGCUAGGGGAGCG
rnacentral:rRNA from 1 species